UACGUAGGUGGCGAGCGUUAUCCGGAUUUAUUGGGUUAAAGGGAGCGUAGGCGGUUCUGUAAGUCAGUGGUGAAAGUCGGCCGCUUAACGGUUGGAUUGCCAUUGAUACUGCAGAGCUAGAGUAUAGUAGAGGUAGGGAGAAUUGACGGUGUAGCGGUGAAAUGCAUAGAUAUCGUCAAGAAUACCGAUUGCGAAGGCACCUUACUGGACUAUAAACUGACGC
rnacentral:rRNA from 1 species